UCGGCCCGGGGCUCGGCCGGGGCUCGGCCCGGGGCAGCUCCGGGAACGCAGGGGCAGCUGCGCGGAGAGGGCACGCCCUUGAGCGCUUUUCCUGGGAAUAAGAUCACAAAUUCCAGACAAACCGUGUGCCGUUUGAGGACAUGAUACAGUUAGUGACGAUCAGACACAUCUAAAUGAUCUUAAUUCCUAGUACAAAAUAGAGUACGUGCAUGACAGCUUUGAUCCCUAAACGCUGGCGAACCUGGUUGUGAAUCAGCUCAAAGCGCCUACAAGGCCACUGACAUUUCACGCAGAAAAAGUACACCAACAGCUUUACUCAGGCUGUAUAGAGAAGACAAAGGAGUUGCCUUAGACUGCCUUGGAGUGUUAUUCUGCACUUUAGUCUGGCUGGAUUGGUUCUCUGCAGAAACCAACAAUACAGCCAAAUGGAAAUUCUCUCAAAACUCAAGGCAGGACUUUAAAUACAUCACCCCUAAGGUUUAAGUUCCUGUUACAUUAGUGUUGUCAUAAGUUACAUUCCACAGAAGAAAAAAAAUCCCAAGGCACUGAGAUUUGUGUGGAGGACAUUUAUUGGGAAGUAAUCUAUGGAAGAGCACUUGCAACAGGUAAAUAAAGCAGGAUUGGGCAGAUGGAGAAGUUGGGCC
rnacentral:lncRNA from 1 species